UACGUAGGGUGCAAGCGUUGUCCGGAAUUAUUGGGCGUAAAGAGCUCGUAGGCGGUUUGUCGCGUCUGCUGUGAAAAACUGGAGGCUCAACCUCCAGCCUGCAGUGGGUACGGGCAGACUAGAGUGCGGUAGGGGAGAUUGGAAUUCCUGGUGUAGCGGUGGAAUGCGCAGAUAUCAGGAGGAACACCGAUGGCGAAGGCAGAUCUCUGGGCCGUAACUGACGCUGAGGAGCGAAAAGCAUGGGGAGCGAACAGG
rnacentral:rRNA from 1 species